GGAUAAGUUAGAAAGGGCGCACGGUGAAUGCCUUGGCACUAGGAGCCGAUGAAGGACGCGACGAACCGCGAUAGGCUUCGGGGAGCUGUAAGUAAGCUUCGAUCCGGAGAUUUCCGAAUGGGGGAACCCACCAUCCGUAAUGGGAUGGUACUGGCAUCUGAACACAUAGGAUGUCGAGAGGCAGACCCGGGGAACUGAAACAUCUAAGUACCCGGAGGAAGAGAAAGCAAAUGCGAUUUCCUGAGUAGCGGCGAGCGAAACGGAAACAGCCCAAACCAAGAGGCUUGCCUCUUGGGGUUGUAGGACACUCAACAACGGAGUGAUCAAGAAACGGAGUAGGUGAACUGUCUGGAAAGGCAGGCCGAAGAAGGUAACAGCCCUGUAGCUGAAACUUCGUUUCCUCCAGAGUGGAUCCUGAGUACGGCGGGACACGUGAAACCCCGUCGGAAUCCGGGAGGACCAUCUCCCAAGGCUAAAUACUCCCUAGUGACCGAUAGUGAACCAGUACCGUGAGGGAAAGGUGAAAAGCACCCCGGAAGGGGAGUGAAAGAGAUCCUGAAACCGUGUGCCUACAACUAGUCAGAGCCCGUUAACGGGUGAUGGCGUGCCUUUUGUAGAAUGAACCGGCGAGUUACGGUAUCGUGCAAGGUUAAGCUGAUGAAGCGGAGCCGCAGCGAAAGCGAGUCUGAAUAGGGCGCCUUUAGUACGAUGCCGUAGACCCGAAACCGGGUGAUCUACCCAUGUCCAGGGUGAAGGUCGGGUAACACCGACUGGAGGCCCGAACCCACGCAAGUUGAAAAUUGCGGGGAUGAGGUGUGGGUAGGGGUGAAAUGCCAAUCGAACUCGGAAAUAGCUGGUUCUCCCCGAAAUAGCUUUAGGGCUAGCCUCGAGUGAUGAGUCUUGGAGGUAGAGCACUGAUUGGACGAGGGGUCCCCACAGGAUUACCGAAUUCAGUCAAACUCCGAAUGCCAAUGACUUUAACUCGGGAGUCAGACUGCGAGUGCUAAGAUCCGUAGUCAAGAGGGAAACAGCCCAGACCAUCAGCUAAGGUCCCCAAGUAUACGUUAAGUGGAAAAGGAUGUGGAGUUGCCCAGACAACCAGGAUGUUGGCUUAGAAGCAGCCAUCAUUGAAAGAGUGCGUAAUAGCUCACUGGUCGAGUGACUCUGCGCCGAAAAUGUACCGGGGCUAAACGUAUCACCGAAGCUAUGGCAAUCCCGUAUGGGAUUGGGUAGGGGAGCGUUCCAAGGACAGCGAAGCCAGAUCGUGAGGACUGGUGGAGUGCUUGGAAGUGAGAAUGCCGGUAUGAGUAGCGAAAAGAUAGGUGAGAAUCCUAUCCGUCGAAAGCCCAAGGUUUCCUGAGGAAGGCUCGUCCGCUCAGGGUUAGUCGGGACCUAAGCCGAGGCCGAAAGGCGUAGGCGAUGGACAACAGGUUGAUAUUCCUGUACCACCUCGUAUUCGUUUGAACGAUGGGGGGACGCAGAAAGGUAGGGUGAGCGCGCCGCUGGCUGUGCGCGUCGAAGCAUGC
rnacentral:rRNA from 1 species